rnacentral:tRNA from 1 species
GCCGCCGUGGCGAAAUCGGCAUACGCAUGAGACUUAAAAUCUCAGGAUGGAAACAUCGUACGGGUUCAAGUCCCGUCGGCGGCA